UGAACGCUGGCGGCGUGCCUAAUACAUGCAAGUCGAGCGACCAGACGAGGAGCUUGCUCCUCUGACGUUAGCGGCGGACGGGUGAGUAACACGUGGAUAACCUACCUAUAUGACUGGGAUAACUUCGGGAAACCGGAGCUAAUACCGGAUAAUAUAUUGAACCGCAUGGUUCAAUAGUGAAAGACGGUUUUGCUGUCACUUAUAGAUGGAUCCGCGCCGCAUUAGCUAGUUGGUAAGGUAACGGCUUACCAAGGCAACGAUGCGUAGCCGACCUGAGAGGGUGAUCGGCCACACUGGAACUGAGACACGGUCCAGACUCCUACGGGAGGCAGCAGUAGGGAAUCUUCCGCAAUGGGCGAAAGCCUGACGGAGCAACGCCGCGUGAGUGAUGAAGGUCUUCGGAUCGUAAAACUCUGUUAUUAGGGAAGAACAAAUGUGUAAGUAACUAUGCACGUCUUGACGGUACCUAAUCAGAAAGCCACGGCUAACUACGUG
rnacentral:rRNA from 1 species